CACUAUCGUUAACUGAAUACAUAGGUUAACGAGGCGAACCGGGGGAACUGAAACAUCUAAGUACCCCGAGGAAAAGAAAUCAACCGAGAUUCCCCCAGUAGCGGCGAGCGAACGGGGAGCAGCCCAGAGUCUGAAUCAGCUUGUGUGUUAGUGGAACGGUCUGGAAAGUCCGACGGUACAGGGUGAUAGUCCCGUACACCAAAAUGCACAGGUUGUGAACUCGAAGAGUAGGGCGGGACACGUGGUAUCCUGUCUGAAUAUGGGGGGACCAUCCUCCAAGGCUAAAUACUCCUGACUGACCGAUAGUGAACCAGUACCGUGAGGGAAAGGCGAAAAGAACCCCGGCGAGGGGAGUGAAAAAGAACCUGAAACCGUGUACGUACAAGCAGUGGGAGCACCUUCGGGUGUGACUGCGUACCUUUUGUAUAAUGGGUCAGCGACUUAUAUUCUGUAGCAAGGUUAACCGUAUAGGGGAGCCGCAGGGAAACCGAGUCUUAACUGGGCGUUAAGUUGCAGGGUAUAGACCCGAAACCCGGUGAUCUAGCCAUGGGCAGGUUGAAGGUUGGGUAACACUAACUGGAGGACCGAACCGACUAAUGUUGAAAAAUUAGCGGAUGACUUGUGGCUGGGGGUGAAAGGCCAAUCAAACCGGGAGAUAGCUGGUUCUCCCCGAAAGCUAUUUAGGUAGCGCCUCGUGAACUCAUCUUCGGGGGUAGAGCACUGUUUCGGCUAGGGGGUCAUCCCGACUUACCAACCCGAUGCAAACUACGAAUACCGAAGAAUGUUAUCACGGGAGACACACGGCGGGUGCUAACGUCCGUCGUGAAGAGGGAAACAACCCAGACCGCCAGCUAAGGUCCCAAAGUCAUGGUUAAGUGGGAAACGAUGUGGGAAGGCACAGACAGCCAGGAUGUUGGCUUAGAAGCAGCCAUCAUUUAAAGAAAGCGUAAUAGCUCACUGGUCGAGUCGGCCUGCGCGGAAGAUGUAACGGGGCUAAACCAUGCACCGAAGCUGCGGCAGCGACACUAUGUGUUGUUGGGUAGGGGAGCGUUCUGUAAGCCUGCGAAGGUGUGCUGUGAGGCAUGCUGGAGGUAUCAGAAGUGCGAAUGCUGACAUAAGUAACGAUAAAGCGGGUGAAAAGCCCGCUCGCCGGAAGACCAAGGGUUCCUGUCCAACGU
rnacentral:rRNA from 1 species